rnacentral:rRNA from 1 species
CCGUGGGGGGGUGCUAUACAUGCAGUCGAGCGGACCGACGGGAGCUUGCUCCCUUAGGUCAGCGGCGGACGGGUGAGUAACACGUGGGUAACCUGCCUGUAAGACUGGGAUAACUCCGGGAAACCGGGGCUAAUACCGGAUGCUUGAUUGAACCGCAUGGUUCAAUCAUAAAAGGUGGCUUUUAGCUACCACUUACAGAUGGACCCGCGGCGCAUUAACUAGUUGGUGAGGUAACGGCUCACCAAGGCGACGAUGCGUAACCGACCUGAGAGGGUGAUCGGCCACACUGGGACUGAAACACGGCCCAAACUCCUACGGGAGGCAGCAGUAGGGAAUCUUCCGCAAUGGACGAAAGUCUGACGGAACAACGCCCCGUGAGUGAUGAAGGUUUUCGGAUCGUAAAACUCUGUUGUUAGGGAAGAACAAGUACCGUUCGAAUAGGGCGGUACCUUGACGGUACCUAACCAGAAAGCCACGGCUAACUACGUGCCAGCAGCCGCGGUAAUACGUAAGUGGCAAGCGUUGUCCGGAAUUAUUGGGCGUAAAGCGCGCGCAGGCGGUUUCUUAAGUCUGAUGUGAAAGCCCCCGGCUCAACCGGGGAGGGUCAUUGGAAACUGGGGAACUUGAGUGCAGAAGAAGAGAGUGGAAUUCCACGUGUAGCGGUGAAAUGCGUAGAGAUGUGGAGGAACACCAGUGGCGAAAGCGACUCUCUGGUCUGUAUCUGACGCUGAGGCGCGAAAGCGUGGGGAGCGAACAGGAUUAGAUACCCUGGUAGUCCACGCCGUAAACGAUGAGUGCUAAGUGUUAGAGGGUUUUCCGCCCUUUAGUGCUGCAGCAAACGCAUUAUGCACUCCGCCCUGGCGGAGUACUGAUCGCAGACUGAUACUCAAAGGAAUAUGACGGGCGGCCCGCACAAGCUGUGGAGCCAUGUUGUUUCAUUCUAAGCUACGCGAAGAAUCCUUACUCAGUCUUUGACAUCCUCUGACCAUACCCCUAGAGAUAUGGCGUUCCUCCUUACUGGCGCCAGACUGACAGUUGUGCAUUGAAUGUCGUUAGCUUCUCGUCAUGAAAAUGUUUAGAUUUAAGUCCAGUCACUGAGACGCAAGCCCUGGACUUGACUUGCCUACAUUUCAUUGGCACAUCUCUAGGUGUACUGCCGACUGAACUAA